UUGACUUUUUUCUUGUGAAGAAAAUAUGAAGCUGCUACAUCCUGAGACAAGUCCUACUUGACCCAGGAGGUGGCUGAAGUGGUAAGAAAGGAAGAGAAUGAUUGACACUGAGGCACAGCACCACAUGUCUUCCUUGUUCCCCUGGCAAGACCAAGUGGAUGAUGUUGCAAUCAAGGUCUCAAGAUGGAGUCAUGGUGUGGUCAGCCGUACCUGCAAGGAAGUUGCUUGAAGUUGUGCUCCAGCAAAUUGAAAAGUUAAACCAAGAAGUCAUAAGUAAACAGUGGAUCCAACCUAAGAAAUGUAAGAAGAGACAUUCCAAUUGAAAAAAUCAAGAAUUCUAAGUGUAUUAUUUUAGAUAUCAUGAUAUCUGUCAAGAAAAAAUAUUGAAGUAAUUGAAAAGAUUUACAAGUUGACUUUUAGACACUA